rnacentral:rRNA from 1 species
AGAUUGAACGCUAGCGGGAUGCCUUACACAUGCAAGUCGAACGGCAGCGCGGACUUCGGUCUGGCGGCGAGUGGCGAACGGGUGAGUAAUAUAUCGGAACGUGCCCAGUAGCGGGGGAUAACUACGCGAAAGCGUGGCUAAUACCGCAUACGCCCUACGGGGGAAAGGGGGGGAUUCUUCGGAACCUCUCACUAUUGGAGCGGCCGAUAUCAGAUUAGCUAGUUGGUGGGGUAAAGGCUCACCAAGGCGACGAUCUGUAGCUGGUUUGAGAGGACGACCAGCCCACACUGGGACUGAGACACGGUCCAGACUCCUACGGGAGGCAGCAGUGGGGAAUUUUGGACAAUGGGCACAAGCCUGAU